rnacentral:misc_RNA from 1 species
GAUGAAGAACGUAGCGAAAUGCGAUAAGUAAUGUGAAUUGCAGAAUUCAGUGAAUCAUCAAAUCUUUGAACGCAUCUUGCGCUCCUUGGUAUUCUGAGGAGCAUGCCUGUUUGAGUGUCAUUAAAUUCUCAACUACACUGACUUUGAAUUGGUGUGGCUUGGAUUUGGGGGGAAAAUUGUUGUGGGCUUUUUGUAUAGUCUGCUCCCCUGAAAUUGAUUAGCGGUACCUUUGUGGAACUGUCUACAGGUGUGAUAAUUAUCUACAUCUUAGACAUCUGCUGGAAUGCUGCUUUCUAAACCUUACUUGUAUUGACAAUCUUGACCUCAAAUCAGGUAGGACUACCCGCUGAACUUAAGCAUAUCAAUAAGCGGAGGA